rnacentral:rRNA from 1 species
UACGUAGGCAGCAAGCGUUGUUCGGAAUUACUGGGCGUAAAGGGUCCGCAGGUGGCAGUGUAAGUCUGCUGUCAAAGAAUGAGGCUUAACCUUAUCAAGGCAGUGGAAACUACACAGCUAGAGUACGGUCGGGGUAGAAGGAAUUCCUGGUGUAGCGGUGAAAUGCGUAGAGAUCAGGAAGGACACCGGUGGCGAAAGCGUUCUGCUAGACCUGUACUGACACUGAGGGACGAAAGCUAGGGGAGCGAAUGGG